rnacentral:rRNA from 1 species
CAGCAGCCGCGGUAAUACGGAGGGUGCAAGCGUUAUCCGGAUUUAUUGGGUUUAAAGGGUCCGUAGGCGGACUUAUAAGUCAGUGGUGAAAGCCUGUCGCUUAACGAUAGAACUGCCAUUGAUACUGUAAGUCUUGAGUAUAUUUGAGGUAGCUGGAAUAAGUAGUGUAGCGGUGAAAUGCAUAGAUAUUACUUAGAACACCAAUUGCGAAGGCAGGUUACCAAGAUAUAACUGACGCUGAGGGACGAAAGCGUGGGUAGCGAACAGGAUUAGAUACCCGAGUAGUCCCUGUCUCUUAUAU